rnacentral:rRNA from 1 species
GACGUAGGGCGCGAGCGUUGUCCGGAUUUAUUGGGCGUAAAGAGCUCGUAGGCGGCUUGUCGCGUCGACUGUGAAAUCCCGCGGCUCAACUGCGGGUCUGCAGUCGAUACGGGCAGGCUAGAGUUCGGUAGGGGAGACUGGAAUUCCUGGUGUAGCGGUGAAAUGCGCAGAUAUCAGGAGGAACACCGAUGGCGAAGGCAGGUCUCUGGGCCGAUACUGACGCUGAGGAGCGAAAGCCAGGGGAGCAAACGGG